rnacentral:rRNA from 1 species
GGCUUAACACAUGCAAGUCGAACGAGAAUGAGGGGGCAACUCCUCUAGUAAAGUGGCGGACGGGUGCGUAACACGUGGGUAAUCUACCUUCUGGCGGGGGACAACAGUCCGAAAGGACUGCUAAUACCGCGUACGUCGGCGGAGGCUAAGGCUUCUGUCGGGAAAGAUGGCCUCUCCAUGGAAGCUAUCACCGGAAGAUGAGCCCGCGGCUCAUCAGCUAGUUGGUGAGGUAAUGGCUCACCAAGGCUUAGACGGGUAGCUGGUCUGAGAGGAUGAUCAGCCACACUGGGACUGCGACACGGCCCAGACUCCUACGGGAGGCAGCAGUGGGGAAUAUUGGGCAAUGGGCGAAAGCCUGACCCAGCCACGCCGCGUGAGUGAUGAAGGCCUUCGGGUCGUAAAGCUC